rnacentral:rRNA from 1 species
UCAACGGAGAGUUUGAUCCUGGCUCAGGAUGAACGCUGGCGGCGUGCUUAACACAUGCAAGUCGAACGAUGGUCCCCAGCUUGCUGGGGGGAUUAGUGGCGAACGGGUGAGUAACACGUGAGUAACCUGCCCUUGACUCUGGGAUAAGCCUGGGAAACUGGGUCUAAUACCGGAUACGACCGCUCACCGCAUGGUGUGGUGGUGGAAAGCCUUGUGCGGUUUUGGAUGGACUCGCGGCCUAUCAGCUUGUUGGUGGGGUAAUGGCCUACCAAGGCGACGACGGGUAGCCGGCCUGAGAGGGUGACCGGCCACACUGGGACUGAGACACGGCCCAGACUCCUACGGGAGGCAGCAGUGGGGAAUAUUGCACAAUGGGCGCAAGCCUGAUGCAGCGACGCCGCGUGAGGGAUGACGGCCUUCGGGUUGUAAACCUCUUUCAGUAGGGAAGAAGCCUUCGGGUGACGGUACCUGCAGAAGAAGCGCCGGCUAACUACGUGCCAGCAGCCGCGGUAAUACGUAGGGCGCAAGCGUUAUCCGGAAUUAUUGGGCGUAAAGAGCUCGUAGGCGGUUUGUCGCGUCUGCUGUGAAAGACCGGGGCUCAACUCCGGUUCUGCAGUGGGUACGGGCAGACUAGAGUGAUGUAGGGGAGACUGGAAUUCC